GACGAACGCUGGCGGCGUGCUUAACACAUGCAAGUCGAACGAAGUGGCGAACGGGUGAGUAACGCGUAAACAACCUGCCCUUCAGAGGGGGACAACAGUUGGAAACGACUGCUAAUACCGCAUACUGAAGGUGGGGAUUGCGUCGGAUUAGCUAGUUGGAGGGGUAACGGCCGCACAAGGCGAUGAUCAGUAGCCUGGCUGGGAAGAUGAACGGCCACAUUGGGACUGGGAAACGGCCCAGACUCCUACGGGAGGCAGCAGGGGGGAAUCUUCCGAAAUGGAGGAAAGUCUGACGGAGCAACGCCGCGUGAGUGAUGACGGCCUUCGGGUUGUAAAGCUCUGUUAAUCGGGACGCGGUACCGGAAUAGAAAGCCACGGCUAACUACGUGCCAGCCGCCGCGGUAAUAC
rnacentral:rRNA from 1 species